rnacentral:rRNA from 1 species
CCUACGGGAGGCAGCAGUGAGGAAUAUUGGUCAAUGGACGAGAGUCUGAACCAGCCAAGUAGCGUGAAGGAUGACUGCCCUAUGGGUUGUAAACUUCUUUUAUAUGGGAAUAAAACGUUCCACGUGUGGGAUUUUGUAUGUACCAUAUGAAUAAGGAUCGGCUAACUCCGUUCCAGCAGCCGCGGUAAUACGGAGGAUCCGAGCGUUAUCCGGAUUUAUUGGGUUUAAAGGGAGCGUAGGUGGAUUGUUAAGUCAGUUGUGAAAGUUUGCGGCUCAACCGUAAAAUUGCAGUUGAAACUGGCAGUCUUGAGUACAGUAGAGGUGUGCGGAAUUCGUGGUGUAGCGGUGAAAUGCUUAGAUAUCACGAAGAACUCCGAUUGCGAAGGCAGUUCACUGGACUGCAACUGACACUGAGGCUCGAAAGUGUGGGUAUCAAACAGGAUUAGAUACCCUAGUAGUC